GAUGAACGCUGGCGGCGUGCCUAAUACAUGCAAGUCGAGCGAACGGACGAGAAGCUUGCUUCUCUGAUGUUAGCGGCGGACGGGUGAGUAACACGUGGAUAACCUACCUAUAAGACUGGGAUAACUUCGGGAAACCGGAGCUAAUACCGGAUAAUAUUUUGAACCGCAUGGUUCAAAAGUGAAAGACGGUCUUGCUGUCACCUAUAGAUGGAUCCGCGCUGCAUUAGCUAGUUGGUAAGGUAACGGCUUACCAAGGCAACGAUGCAUAGCCGACCUGAGAGGGUGAUCGGCCACACUGGAGCUGAGACACGGUCCAGACUCCUACGGGAGGCAGCAGUAGGGAAUCUUCCGCAAUGGGCGAAAGCCUGACGGAGCAACGCCGCGUGAGUGAUGAAGGUCUUCGGAUCGUAAAACUCUGUUAUUAGGGAAGAACAUAUGUGUAAGUAACUGUGCACAUCUUGACGGUACCUAAUCAGAAAGCCACGGCUAACUACGUGCCAGCAGCCGCGGUAAUACGUAGGUGGCAAGCGUUAUCCGGAAUUAUUGGGUGUAAAGCGCGCGUAGGCGGUUUUUUAAGUCUGAUGUGAAAGCCCACGGCUCAACCGUGGAGGGUCAUUGGAAACUGGAAAACUUGAGUGCAGAAGAGGAAAGUGGAAUUCCAUGUGUAGCGGUGAAAUGCGCAGAGAUAUGGAGGAACACCAGUGGCGAAGGCGACUUUCUGGUCUGUAACUGACGCUGAUGUGCGAAAGCGUGGGGAUCAAACAGGAUUAGAUACCCUGGUAGUCCACGCCGUAAACGAUGAGUGCUAAGUGUUAGGGGGUUUCCGCCCCUUAGUGCUGCAGCUAACGCAUUAAGCACUCCGCCUGGGGAGUACGACCGCAAGGUUGAAACUCAAAGGAAUUGACGGGGACCCGCACAAGCGGUGGAGCAUGUGGUUUAAUUCGAAGCAACGCGAAGAACCUUACCAAAUCUUGACAUCCUUUGACAACUCUAGAGAUAGAGCUUUCCCCUUCGGGGGACAAAGUGACAGGUGGUGCAUGGUUGUCGUCAGCUCGUGUCGUGAGAUGUUGGGUUAAGUCCCGCAACGAGCGCAACCCUUAAGCUUAGUUGCCAUCAUUAAGUUGGGCACUCUAAGUUGACUGCCGGUGACAAACCGGAGGAAGGUGGGGAUGACGUCAAAUCAUCAUGCCCCUUAUGAUUUGGGCUACACACGUGCUACAAUGGACAAUACAAAGGGCAGCGAAACCGUGAGGUCAAGCAAAUCCCAUAAAGUUGUUCUCAGUUCGGAUUGUAGUCUGCAACUCGACUACAUGAAGCUGGAAUCGCUAGUAAUCGUAGAUCAGCAUGCUACGGUGAAUACGUUCCCGGGUCU
rnacentral:rRNA from 1 species